rnacentral:misc_RNA from 1 species
GAUGAAGAACGCAGCGAAAUGCGAUACUUGGUGUGAAUUGCAGAAUCCCGUGAACCAUCGAGUCUUUGAACGCAAGUUGCGCCCGAAGCCAUUAGGCCGAGGGCACGCCUGCCUGGGUGUCACACACCGUUACCCUCGCGCCAACGUCCAUCGUUGGCCGCGGCGCGGGGCGUGCGCUGACCUCCCGCGAGCGGGGUCUCGUGGUUGGUUGAAAUCGAGUUCGCGGUCGAGGGUGCCCGAGGCCCGAGGCCAAUCACGCGCGACUCUGUCCGGCUCGGACUCCUGGACCCCUUCGGCGUCUCCGGACGCUCUUUGGCGAGACCUCAGGUCAGGCGGGGCUACCCGCUGAGUUUAAGCAUAUCAAUAAGCGGAGGA